UUUUUUUUUUGGUUUUUCAAAAUAGGGUUUCUCUGUAAAGCCCUGGCUGUCCUGGAACUCACUCUGUAGACCAGGCUGGCCUCAAACUCAGAAAUCUGCCUGCCUCUGCCUCCCAAAUGCAGGGAUUAAAGGUGUGCACCACCAUGCCCGGCCAAAUUCAGCAUUCUUGAAAAGCAUCUCCAGCCAUCUCUCCCCAUCACUUUCCUAGUCAGUUUUUUCCCAGGCUCAAAACCAGCUAUUUUCAACUGUUUCCCUGUCUUGUCAUCUCUGAGACUGAAGGAUGUCAGGUAGCCAUACUACAUUCCUCUAGUGCAGUAGUUCUCAAUCCUUUAGGGUUCAAAACCUGUGGUGAUGUAGUAUUAUGGAAACACCUCUUAUAUCCUAAAAGACUGGAACUUUUGUUGGACCUCACAACCAGAGUUGCUAAUGCACCCUGAAAUCACUUAAGACUGGUAGCCUACUAUGUUCUCAGCCAGUAUGCUUAACCUGCUUUUAUGACAACAUUGUAACAAUCAGGACUUCCAUGUAAUCAACUUUUAGGACCUAAUACAAAGCUGUAACCUGAAGUUGUAUAUUCUUCCAUCCUCCUAACCCAGUACAAUGCAUACGUAUCACUUACAGAAAGCAGCAAAUACAGAAGUUGAAAGCAAUCUUCCAAGAUGAAUAUCCUUCAUAAACACUGAAUACAGUGUCUGGAUAUUGGUUGGUAUACAGUGAUGUGUGUGAUGCUAUUUGUUGUCUUGAUCAGUUGGAGCUAGAGACUGACUCCCUUGUAAAACUGUUACAGAUUUCUGUAAAGUAUCCCUUCUUUUCCCCACGUGAUGCUUUCUGCACUGCUCAAUGAACACAGAGCCAGAAACUGAACACAAACGCAGGGACAAAUUUACAAGACAGCCUUUGAGCAGGCAGAAAUGAAGAUUCAUGCACCAGUCAGAGGACAGAGAGGGCAGAGGGGGCAUGAAGUAGAAAAUUGAGUUCUGGACUUUCUUUUGCUAAAAAUGACAGCAAGGGAAAGUGCUUUUCUUUCUUUCCUUAAUGUGACACCAGUGCAUUAUUGGUAACUGUGAGUUUUCUGUUUAAUCCAAUCAAAAACCCACUUUACACUUAAGACAAACAAACCUAUUAUAUUUACUUACUGUGUGUUGGUUGGUUUUGGGCAACAUAAACCUAGCCAUCUGGGAAGAGGCAAUCUUGAUUGAGGAAGUGCCUCCAUAAGACUGACCUAUAGGCAAUAGGAGGCAUUUUCUUGAUCAAUGGACAGUUGGUGUGGGCCACUGUGAGUGGUGCCAGCCCUGGGCAGGUAGCCCUUGGGUGUAUAAGAAAGGAGACUGAGCAACUUAGAAGAAUCCAUUAGCAGCACUCCUCCAUGCGUUCUGCUUCACUUCCUGCCUCCAUGUUCUUGCCUUGGCUUCCCUCAGCAGACUCUGACCCGGGUAUUUGGACCAGUGUUUUAUCAUAACAAUAGAAGCCUUAUGAGUUACAUGCUAUAUAAAUAUUAUCAAUUGUAAGAUACUCAUUUAAAAAUAAUUACAUGCUGGGCAAUGAUGGCACAUGCCUUUAAUCCCAGCACUUGGGGGGCAGAGGCAAGCAGAUUUCUGAGUUUGAAGCCAGCCUGGUCUAUAGAGUAAGUUCCAGGACAGCCAGGGCUAUACAGAGAAACUGUCUUGAAAAAACAAAAAAAGAAAAAAAAAUUACAUGUUAAAAUGAAUAAUUUUACCAAGAAAUAGUAAUGUUU
rnacentral:lncRNA from 1 species